GAUGAACGCUAGCGGCAGGCUUAACACAUGCAAGUCGAGGGGUAUUGGUUUUCGGACCAAGAGACCGGCGCACGGGUGCGUAACGCGUAUGCAAUCUACCUUUUGCAGAGGGAUAGCCCCAGAGAAAUUUGGAUUAAUACCUCAUAGUAUAGUACUUUGGCAUCAAGGAACUAUUAAAGUCACAACGGCAAAAGAUGAGCAUGCGUCCCAUUAGCUAGUUGGUAAGGUAACGGCUUACCAAGGCUACGAUGGGUAGGGGUCCUGAGAGGGAGAUCCCCCACACUGGUACUGACGACACGGACCAGACUCCUACGGGAGGCAGCAGUGAGAAAUAUUGGACAAUGGGCGCAAGCCUGAUCCAGCCAUGCCGCGUGCAGGAUGACGGUCCUAUGGAUUGUAAACUGCUUUUGUACAGGAAGAAACACUACUUCGUGAAGUAGCUUGACGGUACUGUAAGAAUAAGGAUCGGCUAACUCCGUGCCAG
rnacentral:rRNA from 1 species